UCCCUCAUCAUCACGGUUCUAUCCUGCCUCAACAUUGCAGGUUCUCCUGCGUGAUGACGUUGCAAUCGCUAUUCGGACAAUACGGCGGCUAUUGCAAGCCUGUUGUUAUGGGACAAUACUUAUGCGCUGUAGUGGAGCUGUCAACGAUAAUUUUGACAGGUUGGGUUAUGUUGCCCAUGGAUAUGCAGGUUUCUCUGUCUACAAGGAUAUUCUUGGAUAUCACCGGAACAUUGGGAUAUUUAAUCUCCGAUUGACU